rnacentral:rRNA from 1 species
GACGAACCGUGCGAACGUUGUUCGGAAUUACUGGGCGUAAAGGGCUCGUAGGCGGCCAACUAAGUCAGACGUGAAAUCCCUCAGCUUAACUGGGGAACUGCGUCUGAUACUGGAUGGCUAGAGUGCGGGAGAGGAGAGUGGAAUUCCCGGUGUAGCGGUGAAAUGCGCAGAUAUCGGGAAGAACACCCGUGGCGAAGGCGGCUCUCUGGAACGCAACUGACGCUGAGACGCGAAAGCGUGGGGAGCAAACAGG